GGGCGUCUCUUUCUCAUUGCGAGUGGAGGCGCACCCAGAGCGUACACGCUGAUACCCGAAAGAUGGUGAACUAUGCCUGGCCAGGACGAAGCCAGGGGAAACCCUGGUGGAGGUCCGCAGCGAUUCUGACGUGCAAAUCGAUCGUCGGAGCUGGGUAUAGGGGCGAAAGACCAAUCGAACCAUCUAGUAGCUGGUUCCCUCCGAAGUUUCCCUCAGGAUAGCUUGCGCUCACGUGAACGAGUCUCAUCCGGUAGAGCGAAUGAUUAGAGGCCUUGGGGUCGAAACGACCUCAACCUAUUCUCAAACUCCAAAUAGAUGAGAACUCCGGCUUUCUUGAACUCUGUUUAUGAAGCCGGGGGCUCGGAUCAGAGUGCCAAGUGGGCCAAUUUU
rnacentral:rRNA from 1 species